CACCAAUCAAGCCUGGCUUGGUAUUGGGCGUCGCGGGUCUGACCCGCGCGCCUCAAAGUCUCACCGGCUGAGCGGCGUCGUCUCUAAGCGUUGUGGAAACUAUUCGCGGAGAGGAGGCGCGGCGUGGCCGUUAAACACCCCAUUUCUAA
rnacentral:misc_RNA from 1 species